rnacentral:misc_RNA from 1 species
AAGUCGUAACAAGGUUUCCGUAGGUGAACCUGCGGAAGGAUCAUUACUGAAUUAAUCAAAGUGAUUGAUUGUGCUGGCAGAUUUUUUUUGCAAGUGCACGUCAGUUACUUAUUAAUCCAUUACACACCUGUGAACCUUUGACUUUUCUUUUUUUUUUAACUCUCAGCCUCUUAUGUGGCAGCAGGAUUAUGUUCUUUAUUGAACUUUAUCCUUGAGAGAAGGAAAAAAAAAAAAAGUAUUUUAUUCUACACUCUUUAGAAUGUAUGUGAUUAAUUGUAUUGUGCUUUUGCACUAUUAAAUACAACUUUCAACAACGGAUCUCUUGGCUCUC